UACGAGGGGGGCAAGCGUUGUUCGGAAUUAUUGGGCGUAAAGGGUGCGUAGGCGGUUUGGUAAGUCUUAUGUGAAAUCUACAGGCUCAACUUGUAGUCUGCAUGAGAAACUGCCGGGCUUGAGUAUGGGAGAGGUGAGUGAAUUCCUGGUGUAGCGGUGAAAUGCGUAGAUAUCAGGAGGAACACCUGUGGCGAAAGCGGCUCACUGGACCAUAACUGACGCUGAUGCACGAAAGCUAGGGGAGCAAACGGG
rnacentral:rRNA from 1 species